rnacentral:rRNA from 1 species
AGUGAACGCUGGCGGCGUGCCUAAUACAUGCAAGUCGAACGGAGAUUAAGUAGCUUGCUAUUUAAUCUUAGUGGCGCACGGGUGAGUAAUAUAUAGCUAACUUGCCCAUUACUAAGGGACAACAGUUGGAAACGACUGCUAAUACCCUAUACUCCGUAUCUAUAUAAGUAGAUACGGGAAAGUUUUUCGGUAAUGGAUAGGGCUAUAUCGUAUCAGCUAGUUGGUAAGGUAAUGGCUUACCAAGGCUAUGACGCGUAACUGGUCUGAGAGGAUGAUCAGUCACACUGGAACUGAGACACGGUCCAGACUCCUACGGGAGGCAGCAGUAGGGAAUAUUGCUCAAUGGGGGAAACCCUGAAGCAGCAACGCCGCGUGGAGGAUGACACUUUUCGGAGCGUAAACUCCUUUUCUUGGGAAAGAAUUAUGACGGUACCCAAGGAAUAAGCACCGGCUAACUCCGUG